UUUGUAGGCGGCCACGCAAGUGGGGUGUGAAAUCCCUCGGCUCAACCGAGGAAUUGCGCUCCAAACUGCGUGGCUUGAGGGAGACAGGGGUUAGCGGAACUGAUGGUGGAGCGGUGAAAUGCGUUGAUAUCAUCAGGAACACCGGUGGCGAAAGCGGCUAACUGGGUCUCUUCUGACGCUGAGAAACGAAAGCUAGGGUAGCGAACG
rnacentral:rRNA from 1 species